rnacentral:rRNA from 1 species
UAGCGAAAUUCCUUGUCGGGUAAGUUCCGACCCGCACGAAAGGCGUAAUGAUUUGGGCACUGUCUCGACAAUGCACCCGGUGAAAUUGAAAUACCAGUGAAGAUGCUGGUUACCUGCGCCAGGACGGAAAGACCCCAUGGAGCUUUACUCUAGCUUGAUACUGGGAUUCGGUAUUGCAUGUACAGGAUAGGUGGGAGACGAAGAGGUGAUGACGCCAGUUGUCACGGAGUCGAUGUUGGGAUACCACCCCUGCAGUACUGGGUUUCUAACCUGCGGCCGUGACCCGGCCGGGGGACAAUGUCUGGUGGGGAGUUUGACUGGGGCGGUCGCCUCCGAAAGGGUAUCGGAGGCGCUCAAAGGUUCCCUCAGAAUGGUUGGAAACCAUUCGAAGAGUGCAAAGGCAGAAGGGAGCUUGACUGCGACACCGACGGGUGGAGCAGGUACGAAAGUAGGACUUAGUGAUCCGGUGGUAUGAAAGUGGGAUUGCCAUCGCUCAACGGAUAAAAGCUACCCUGGGGAUAACAGGCUUAUCACUCCCAAGAGUUCACAUCGACGGAGUGGUUUGGCACCUCGAUGUCGGCUCAUCGCAUCCUGGGGCUGUAGUAGGUCCCAAGGGUUGGGCUGUUCGCCCAUUAAAGCGGUACGCGAGCUGGGUUCAGAACGUCGUGAGACAGUUCGGUCCCUAUCCGGCGUGGGCGUAGGAUAUCUGAGAGGAGCUGUCCUUAGUACGAGAGGACCGGGAUGGACUGACCUCUGGUGCAUCGGUUGAGCCACCAGGCUCAUGGCCGAGUAGCCAAGUCGGGACGGGAUAAACGCUGAAGGCAUCUAAGCGUGAAGCCCCCCUCAAGAUGAGAUAUCCCAUAGAGUUAAUCUAGUAAGACCCCUUGAAGACGACGAGGUAGAUAGGCAGAAGGUGGAAGUGUGGUGACAUAUGGAGCUGAUCUGUACUAAUAGGUCGAGGGCUUAACCGA